rnacentral:rRNA from 1 species
UACGUAGGAGACGAGCGUUGUCCGGAGUUACUGGGCGUAAAGGGUGCGCAGGCGGCCCUGCGCGUCGCGAGUGAAAUCUCCCGGCUCAACUGGGAGGGUGGUCGCGAGACGGCAGGGCUUGAGGCUCGGUGAGGGGCGUGGAAUUCCGGGUGGAGCGGUGAAAUGCGUAGAGAUCGGAAAGAACACCAACGGCGAAAGCACUCUGCUGGGCCGACACUGACACUGAGAGACGAAAGCUAGGGGAGCGAAUGGG